GCAUCGUAGUCAGGUAGGUAGCCACUGAGGUCGACCUACCCACCCGUGUCUAUUGGAGCACUUGUUGCUUCGGCGGGCCCGCCGUUUUCGAACGGCCGCCGGGGAGGCCUCGCGCCCCCGGGCCCGCGCCCGCCGAAGACCCCAACAUGAACGCUGUUCUGAAAGUAUGCAGUCUGAGUUUGAUUAUCAUAAUCAGUUAAAACUUUCAACAACGGAUCUCUUGGUUCCGGCAUCGAUGAAGAACGCAGCGAAAUGCGAUAAGUAAUGUGAAUUGCAGAAUUCAGUGAAUCAUCGAGUCUUUGAACGCACAUUGCGCCCCCUGGUAUUCCGGGGGGCAUGCCUGUCCGAGCGUCAUUGCUGCCCUCAAGCACGGCUUGUGUGUUGGGCCCCCGUCCCCGGUUCUCCCCGGGGACGGGCCCGAAAGGCAGCGGCGGCACCGCGUCCGAUCCUCGAGCGUAUGGGGCUUUGUCACCCGCUCUGUAGGCCCGGCCGGCGCCAGCCGACACCCCAACUUUAUUUUUCUAAGGUUGACCUCGGAUCAGGUAGGGAUACCCGCUGAACUUAAGCAUAUCAAUAAGCGGAAA
rnacentral:rRNA from 1 species